UCAAAUCACAGCUGCAGUUCCAGCACCAAAGAAAAAAUACUUCAGAUGCUUCAGAGAUUCUCUAUAUCAAUCUGACCUCCACAUUGUGGCCAUUAAUAGCCAUGAUUGAAGAGCACAACAAAUAUUCUGGAUUUCCCUCGUCUGCCCAGCUGUGUCCUCCAAGUCUUCCAGAUGAUCCAGGCACUGAGGAUGUUAAUAAUCCCAAAACAAGCUUCAACUACGCGAGGACAACCAAGACACGGAUGAAGCACAACCUCAAGUAAACCAAAAUGGCAGGGUUGUCACUGUGUCCCCAUCACACUGAUUGUCCUCGAGAAAUUCCUCGACAAAGUCACUACCAUCGAGGCAUAACCUCAAGCCACAUGGCCAGCUCAGGAGGAAGCCAUUUUGUGGCUUUCCCACUGCAUCUGUUGAUCCCUGUGGAUACUUCCUGCCUCCUAUGUUCUAUGAAAGAUGAGAUGAGUGCAGACCACCGGGUAAGGGCGGGAUGCCUGUCCCCGGGAUGCAACAACUGGAGUCAUCUGGGGGCCUAAACGUGGCCAAAGGAUCUGGAGCAGCCUGUCCUCCUCCAAAAAAUGACCAAAUAGGUUGAUUGUUCAACAGUUUAUUACGACACGUUUUAAAGUUUAGCACCUCUAGUGGUCGUGUAAGAAACAACAAUUUGCGGCAUAUGGGCUGAUGCUCCCGUUGACUGCAAACGCUCCGGAGGGUCGUUAUUCACAAAUAACCCUCUCUGGAAAAUA